rnacentral:rRNA from 1 species
GAUGAACGCUGGCGGCGUGCCUAAUACAUGCAAGUCGAGCGAACCGACGAGGAGCUUUCUCCUCUGACGUUAUCGCCGGACGGGUGCUUAACACGUGGUUAACCUACCUAUAAGACUGGGAUAACUUCGGCAAACCGUGGCUAAUACCGGAUAAUAUAUUGAACCGCAUUGUUCCAUCGUGAAAUACGGUUUUGCUGUCGCUUAUAGCCUGAUCCGCCCCGCAUUAGUUGGUUGGUCAGGUAACGGCUUACCAAGGCAACGAUGCGUAGCCGACCUAAGAGGACGAUCGGCCACAGGUGAGCGAGGACACGGUCCAAACUCGUACGGGAGACAGCAGUAGGGAACCUUCCGCAGUGGGCGAUAGCGUAACUGAGACACGGCGCGUGAGUGAUGAAGGUCUUCGCAGCGUAAAUCACUGUUAUUAGAGGAUAAUAAAUGUGUAAGUAACUGUGCACGUAUUGACGGUACCUAAUCAGAAAGCCACGGCUAACUACGU